UACGUAGGUGGCAAGCGUUGUCCGGAUUUACUGGGCGUAAAGGGCUCGUAGGCGGCCAACUAAGUCAGACGUGAAAUCCCUCGGCUUAACCGGGGAACUGCGUCUGAUACUGGAUGGCUUGAGGUUGGGAGAGGGAUGCGGAAUUCCAGGUGUAGCGGUGAAAUGCGUAGAUAUCUGGAGGAACACCGGUGGCGAAGGCGGCAUCCUGGACCAAUUCUGACGCUGAGUGAGCGAAAGCCAGGGGAGCAAACGGG
rnacentral:rRNA from 1 species